CAGGAGGGCUCCGGAUGCAUGCAACAUGCCUCUCUCCCAGGCCUACUCUGUGGCAGGUACAAAUCACAUUUUUCUGAACCCAACUAAAGAGGAGAAGAUAGUCAAAGUGUGAAAAAGGCCAGUUCUUUUCCUACCUCUGGCUCUGAAGAGACUCAUGGCCUUUGUGAUACAUGGGAAUGAAAUGAUCAAACCAGCUAUAGAGUUUCCAAAGCAGGGUACCACUUAUCAGUCACAAAAAGCAAUAAAACCAGAUGUGAUGAAAUUGGAUUGAGAAAAAGAAUGGGUUUGAUUUUAUGAAAUGGGCCACUUGGUCUGACUUGGCUGGAUUCUCAGAGCAGCUCAGAAAGAGCAAGGGAACAACAUGGAAGAGGAGAACCUGGGGGUGUUAGACCCAGAGAUGGAAGCCUGAGACCUGAUUCUGGGCCACAGUUAGGGCUGAGCCCUUUGCCUUGCAGAGAACCCUGGACUUUAGGCCGAAAGAGCACUAGAUUUGAAGCUGGUGAUGAUGCGAGCCUUC